rnacentral:rRNA from 1 species
CAGCAUCAGUUUUGGCCACUGGAAAAGGGCGGAGGAAAUGUGGCAUCUUCGGAUGUGUUAUAGUCUUCCGUCGUAUACAGUGGCUGGGACUGAGGAACUCAGCACGCCGCAAGGCCGGGAUUUAUCCACGUACGUGCUUAGGAUGCUGGCAUAAUGGCUUUAAUCGA